GUGUUAAUCGCUCUUCACGGAAUGACUGCCUCCGUUGCCUUAGGGUGUAGGAUCUCUUGGUCCUCCGUCCUUAAGUGGCGUUGGCGUCUGUGAGGAAUGC
rnacentral:misc_RNA from 1 species